ensembl:piRNA 21ur-3985 ncRNA
UUGUUAACUGCUUUUUGUCUC